AGACUUACGCCCCUAAUUCCUCAAAGAAGCGGCGACACCUACAGACGAAAGAGGGAGCUUCAAUGCCUCACCCAAAAGAAAAUUUUUUAAAAAAAAAAGAAGAAGCAGGGAUUCACCCUAAAAAAUCCUAAUAAGGAACGGCCCCCAAUUCGCAAAUUCAGCUGCAAUAAGCAAUCAAAGAAGGAGGAAAGGAGAAUGCCUCCUUAUCAAAAAUAGCAACAGAAUGAGAGUGGAAAAAGGCGUUCUUCUUUUCUCUCCAUUAGUUCUGUUUCUCAUUUUUUUGAUAUUCGCAGUUGCCGUUCUUAAACAACAAAAGGUCAUAUUCUACUUCUCUGCUCUUUGCUAGCUGGAUUGUUCGCGAUUCUUCGUGAGUGGGGUUCGUAAGCUUUAGCUGAGGUAUUCAUUCGAUUUCUGGUCUUGCGAUCGAGGUCCUGGUUUUCAGCUUGUUGUUCCGUUCGUUCAAUCAAAGAGCCUUUGAAAUACAAGUUUUGAGGUCUGCAGUUCCUACCUUAUUUCUGAUUAAUGUAGUUUUGGAAUUCUACAUGUUUUGAAUAAACGGUAGUCCUUAUAUUUACGUUAUUUAUGUUAAAAUUACUAAUACUCUUUUAUUAUUUUUGUUUUUAUUGUUCUUUUUAUUCACUGAGUCGAGGAUCGAUUGGAAACAGCAUUUUGCCCUUUCGGGUAGUUGUUGUUGGUAGUC
rnacentral:lncRNA from 1 species